CUACUCACAGGGCAGGUUGGGGCCCAAGGAAUGGCCCAGCAACCACUCCUCACCCAGCACAGAGCACAGGGCAGGUCGGGGCCCAAGGAAUGGCCCAGCAACUGCUCCUCACCCAGCACAGAGCACACUGUCUUUCCUGCCACCUGCAAUUAUGCUGUGAAGAUGACGGGGUGUGGUCAUCAUGAUUCAGAAGAAUCAAGAUCUAUGACCAUUUUAGGCAAAGAGAGAAACUUCGGGAAUUGCUGAGGACAAGUGAACCUUGUUUUGCUUUUUUUAAAAAAAUACUAAAACCCCACUUCAGCAAUAUUUAGUUGUCAUUUAAAUCAAGCUGGUAUUAUUAAGGGGUUGAUGAACUGAGGUGUCACUCACAAUUACUGCCUUCCAAGAAUUCAUGGGGUGGAUUUCAGUAAUUCUUGUUUGCUUCUGGCUUAGAAAUUGUCAGAAUGAUUUUUCUUUUAUACUUUCCAAUACUUGACUUAAUAUGCAUUUAGUGACUAUUCUUUUUUUUUCAAUACAGUUUACAAGACGACAGAAGUAUACCAGUUCUUAGGCUAGAACUGGAUUUCUCCCUCUACAAUUACACGAUUACUCUCAAAAACCAAGAAAGCGUACUGCUCAACUCAGGCUCUGGCAUGAUUCUUAAAAAGAAAACUGACUCUAGACUACAGGGGCUUACAAAAAGGGGAUUUUUUAACCACUGAGACAUUUGUUAUGUUAACUGUAGGGGAAACGUCUCACCAACAGUCAAAACCAAUGAGCAGGAUUUUUUUUUUAAGUUACAUAGCAUCUAAGUUUUCUGAUCACUACCGGGUACUUUUCAACCAAUAAGAAAAAGGAACCAACACUCAGCUCUGUAGAAAUCUACCUUCUUUUAGAAACCUCAGGCCUCUGCACCUUUAGACAACUCAUUUACGACGACAACCUUCCAUGGCUUCUCACAUGCCACCCAGGGCACGGUAAAAAUGGCAAUUUCUUACACCGAAAGGUCCUUUUUAUGUAACAGACAGACAUCCCCAAACCACAACUCUUUUGUCCUAUUGAUGACUGGCAUGAGAUCAAAUCUCUAGCGUCCCCUAACUGCCCCGACAGGGUCUAGGACAACACAGUUGUUAAAAAGGACAGUCGGGUCGUUCAACUCCCACACUGCCUCAGGUGUUUUCUCAAAGCACGACAAUUCUGCAAUGGAGACUUACACGUGGAAAAGAUUCAAACUAUGCAGGUACCCUCAGUCCUCUGCCACUACCAGCUCAACAGCUUGAGCUCAGAGGAUCAAGUCAAGUCUCUGUCUCACUUUUAAUCUAGCACACAACAGACACAACUCAGUCAGUACACGGUAUCGAAGCAUGCAACAGGCCAUUGGUAACAAAACUCAGUUAGAAUAAGUGUACAUUAAGUAAAUCUUUGUAGUUGAGUAGAAAUCACAAAACAGUUGGUGAGGACAGGUCUGUAGGCUCAGCUUUACAUCCAGGUUUUUAUACACCAGCAGCCAGAUUCACAAUGGAUAGAUAUUGCACCAGAAAGAUGUGUGCAGGGAAAAGAAAUCAUCAUCACAUUUAAUGUUCAUGAUAAAAAAAUAAAAACAAAACCAGACAUGACCUCCAUGUAGUACAUAAAGUGCCUUCAGAAUUGGUGCAUUUACAACAAAAACUGGUUAUUUAGCUACCAUUAGCAAACGCAUACAAACAGGAGACUAAACAGAUCUGGUUUCCACAGUUUUGAAUCAAGCAGUGCCAAGUUUCAUUCAAAGUGUCUCUACUACAAACAGCAAAGAGGAAAUAGAAUAAAAGAUGACUGUACAGCGCCAGGAAAGGCUAAAUAAUUUCUCUGAUGAGAAAUGGGAGUCCAACCCUGUCUCAAAUGUGUUACAGCACAUGUAAUUACUUCUAAGGAAUAAUGGUGUGAUUCCUUUCAAGUCAACACAAAAUUUGUCAUGCUAUGUUACAAUUCUCUCAGCCUGUAGCUAUUAGCUAAAUUUGUACAAAAAAAACCCCAAAACAAAAAUGUAAUAUCCAGUUUUUCAUUCUGAGUAUGGAAAAAAUUAUUAUGUCUAAUAUUAUACUGGAAAUUCUCUCAAAGUACUUGUCUGUAGAAGGUUUUUGGACAAACACUUGCCUUCCAAUUCUAAGUAGAGGGUGGAGGUGUCAGAGACUUAAAAAAUAAAAAUGUCAUUGACAUUAAGCCUGGUAUGAAAGUGAAAUACAAAAAAAAAAAAAAAAAAAAGCUCACUUUUCCAA